GUGAACGUAUGGAUGUGUGAGUGUGUGAGUGUGUGAGUGUGUUUGCAGCAGCAGAGUUCAGAUGAAGGUGGAGAUGGAGUGACAGAAGAAGAGCUGGAGGAUGGAUGGAGGAAUAAAGAGGAAGAGUGCAGGGUCAACCAUAGACCUUUUCAUCUGCCCCCUCUUGGCCUUGGGCCAAGGUCAUCUGUACCCUUUGACCCCCUCUGACAGCAGGCCUGAGUGUGCGUCCAAUCAAAACAGCACCAACCACUCAGUAGACGGUAAACACACUCAGAGAAACGGUAAGCAAAGCAGCAGAAAGUUGAGGAAACAAGGAAAGACGC